GUCCCUAUAUUUCAAUGGAUAGAAUAUGAGCUUCCGAAGCUCAGGAUGGAAGUGCGGAUCUUCCUGGGGGCA
rnacentral:tRNA from 1 species